rnacentral:tRNA from 1 species
GGGUCCGAAGCUCAUUCAGAAGAGCGGUCGGCCGUUAACCGACAGGCUGUGGGUGCAAAUCCCUCCGGACCCG